ACGCUCGACACCUACGGGGGGCAGCAGUGGGGAAUAUUGGGCAAUGGGCGCAAGCCCGACCCAGCAACGCCGCGUGAAGGAAGAAGGCUUUCGGGUUGUAAACUUCUUUUAUUAAGGACGAAGCAAUGACGGUACUUAAUGAAUAAGCUCCGGCUAACUACGUGCCAGCAGCCGCGGUAAUCUGAGCGGGCUGGCAAGGC
rnacentral:rRNA from 1 species